rnacentral:rRNA from 1 species
CCUACGGGAGGCAGCAGUGGGGGAUAUUGGACAAUGGGGGAAACCCUGAUCCAGCGAUGCCGCGUGAGGGAAGAAGGUUUUCGGAUUGUAAACCUCUGUGGAGGGGGACGAGAAUGACGGUACCCCUGUAGGAAGCCACGGCUAACUACGUGCCAGCAGCCGCGGUAAUACGGAAGGUCCGGGCGUUAUCCGGAUUGAUUGGGUUGAAAGGGAGCGUAGGCCGCCUGUCAAGCGUGCUGUGAAAUGUCCGGGCUCAACCCGGGCCUUGCAGCGCGAACUGGCGUGCUUGAGUCCGCGGAAAGCAGGCGGAAUUCGUCGUGUAGCGGUGAAAUGCUUAGAUAUGACGCAGAACCCCGAUUGCGAAGGCAGCUUGCUGCAGCGGAACUGACGCUGAUGCUCGAAAGCGCGGGUAUCGAACAGGAUUAGAUACCCGUGUAGUC